UACGUAGGGUGCGAGCGUGUCCGGAAUUAUUGGGCGUAAAGAGCUCGUAGGCGGUUUGUCGCGUCUGCCGUGAAAGCCCGGGGCUCAGCUCCGGAAGUGCGCCCGAAACUGGCGAGCUGGAGCGCGGUAGAGGAGGGUGGAAUUCCUGGUGUAGCGGUGAAAUGCGUAGAUAUCAGGAGGAACACCUGUGGUGUAGACAGCUUACUGGACCAUUUCUGACGCUGAGACACGAAAGCGUGGGUAGCAAACAGG
rnacentral:rRNA from 1 species